rnacentral:lncRNA from 12 species
AAGAGGUCUUUAUACCUACAAAAGGACACCCCCACACGCUAUUAACUGAACAGUCCUUCUGGAAGUUGCUUCUGUCAUGAUAGUCACCAGGGGUGGUGCCCCUUAAAACAGCCUUUGCUCAGUACCGUCACCCCCUCAGAAGGUCAGCUGAAUGUGGUCUAAACUUAAUCACAAAUGACCUUGGGCAGAGUUUCCGAGCAGGCGCAGAGGAGGUGAGUUUUGUCUCCCCUUUGCAGGUGGGUUCCUACCAGUUGCUCUGAAAAACCCUCCCACGACACCCUGCUGACCUGAGACCAGAAAUUCUGGAGCCUCUCUGCCUGCAGCGGAGACCUCUCACUGAAGCCCUGGGGGCCGGGACUGUUUCCACAGCUAUGCAAUUUGUUGGCCUUGGCCAACAGCACUCGGGAUCCUGCCCUACUUUCCAGAAGGCUCGUGUUGCCUGAUGCUGGAUCAUCCUCAUAUGUGACUGCAGAGGCGCUUGUCCUGAUUUGUAGCAGUAUGGGACGGGGGCUGUGUGUGUGUGUGUGUGUGUGUGUGUGUGUGUGUGUGUGUGUGCCAGCAAGCAUGGACCUUAAAUAAAUAACAUUUUAUUCAAAAUAUUAUUCAGAAUGAUCUUCAGAUCAUUCUGGAUCAGUAGCCCAGGCCUUGUCUGGGAACUUGUUAAAAAUGUAAGUGUCGGGCCAGCUGGGGACUGACUGAAUCAGAAAUUGCAUUUCUACACCAUCUCCAGGCCAACACACCCAGUUAGAGAAGCUCUGGUCUAAGGCAUGCACAUCAUUUGCCAUCAAUUCAAAGGCUGGUAGCAAAUUGUAGGCUCAGCUUUGGAAUCCAGGAUGACACAUAGAUGUAAAAAUGAAUAGCCUAUCCCAGUUCAUAAGUUCUGAGUAUGGCUGUGUUCCCUGAUACUUGUCAAAAGGAUGCCAUCAGUCACUUGGGAAAUGGAAUGAGAAUAGAUAGUACUGGCCUGGGGGGCAAAUAGCUAACAGGGGUGUAAUCCCUUGUAAAGAGUAGUGCUAGGACUCCAGGAAGGUACUGCUUUGUGCAGAGCUGCGAAGUUGAGAUCAUCUCAUCUGCCUGCACUCAGUGUUGGAGGCCCCUGAC